UACGUAGGUGGCAAGCGUUGUCCGGAAUUAUUGGGCGUAAAGCGCGCGCAGGCGGUCUCUUAAGUCUGAUGUGAAAGCCCACGGCUCAACCGUGGAGGGUCAUUGGAAACUGGGGAACUUGAGUGCAGAAGAGGAAAGUGGAAUUCCAAGUGUAGCGGUGAAAUGCGUAGAGAUUUGGAGGAACACCAGUGGCGAAGGCGACUUUCUGGUCUGUAACUGACACUGAGGCGCGAAAGCGUGGGGAGCAAACAGGAUUAGAUACCCUGGUAGUCCACGCCGUAAACGAUGAGUGCUAAGUGUUAGAGGGCUUCCACCCUUUAGUGCUGCAGCUAACGCAUUAAGCACUCCGCCUGGGGAGUACGGCCGCAAGGCUGAA
rnacentral:rRNA from 4 species